ACCAAACGGAAGCAAAUGCACAGAGCAAACGGAACGAACGGGGAGGGAUCUACCUGAAUUUGUCCAAUAGAAACUCUCGAUUUCUUUGAAACUGUUUCCUUUACAAAACGUUUCGCAACAGACGAAACGUUUUGCAACCGAAUUCGAUUAAUGAAUACAUCAGUGAUAAGGGACCGGAUUUGAUAUUCAUGGAGCAAACCCGUGUAGGCCACAUAGCUGGCCAAGUUUAGUCACAUGCUUGUUGUUGUUGUUCUGGUAGCCUAGAGCUUUUCUGAAUGGUCUGCACUCGAUCUAAACCUUUCUCCCAAUUCAGAGGCAUCAGAAUAAUAUUGUCCAUUUUCGGAUUUGUAAUUACAGGAUUAUUCAAAAUAUUUAGGGCGUUUGAUUCGAACGAUCGCGACGCAAAGGGGAGUCAAUCAAAUACGCAUUGCGUCCCUUAUUUACCAACAUGACGGAAGACAAACGAAGAGUCAUCGAGGAAAAUUUGCAGGGUUCCUGGGUGGAGCUGCACUUUAACAAUGGCAACAGUGUUGGCUCACCAGCACAUGGGGCUGCUGGUGUGGAGGAAGAGCAGGUGUCAGGCUCUAACACUGAGCUACCAGGCUCUGCCACUGAGCUACCAGGCUCUGCCACUGAGCUACCAGGCUCUGCCAUUGAGCUACCAGGCUCUGCCACUGAGCUACCAGGCUCUGCCAUUGAGCUACCAGGCUCUGCCACUGAGCUACCAGGCUCUGGGCCAGGUGCCUCUGCCUCAGUCCAUGGUGGAGACAUGAUGGCUGUGUCUACCUCUGCGUCGGUCCUGCCUGGGUCUCUCUCUGCCUCUACCCAGGGAGGUGACCUGAUUCCUGGGUCAGGGUCUGCGUCUGCCUCAGUCCAGGGAGGGGUGGACUUGGAGAAGAUGUUGUUAGACGCCCAGCACGAGUCAGGAAGAAGCAGCUCCAGGGGCAGUGUGCCCUGUGACAGUCCUCCGAGGCCCCAGACUCCUUUGCUCCGUCGGGGUUCAGAAGUGCACAGCUCAGGAGAGAAGAACAGCUCACAGUCUGAAGAAGACUAUCUAGAACGGAGACGUGAAGUGGAGAACCUGAUGAAGAAGAAUGCAGAUUGGAUCUGGGACUGGUCCAGUAGACCUGAGAACAUUCAACGCAAGGACAUUGUAAUGUGCUCUCGUCUUUUGGAUGCAGGGAGUUUGUUCUGAAGCAUCCUAAACGUACCAACCCUCUCAGCAUCAGAAACACCAGCGUCAUGAAGAACGGAGGGAUCUUCUCUGCAGAGUUCCUCAAACUUUUCCUUCCUUCUCUGCUCAUAUCCCACGUACUGGCCAUCGGCCUGGGGGUGUACAUUGGGAGACGUCUAACUACCUCAGUGACCAGUACCUUCUAAAAGGACACUCCGCUGGACUGAAACGACAUGGUUUUUGGCACCAACACCGUUAUUAUCUUCCACUGCUGCUAGGGUUGAAGUGGCGCUUAUUAGAUACAGAUAGGCAACAUCUGUCAUGUGUACCCCAACUCCACUGAAUAGAUGGCUCAAAAUGGCACCCUAUUCCCUACAUAGUGCACUACUUUUGACCAGUUCCCAUAGGACUCUGAUCAAAAGUGGUGCACUAUAUAGAGAAUAGGGUUCCAUUUGGGACACACAUCCUUUUUGUUUUCCCCUGGCGGUGAGCAGUCCACCCUGCCUGUAUCUGUAUUGUACCCCUGUGAAUACUGUUGGCUUUUCCCUUAGUUCCCAGAGCUGCUUUUAAAAACCCCUGCUCCACUGGAAAGUAGAGCCCAGUGUCCCUCCUCCAUCUCACUGGGUAGGGGGCCAUCUUAUGAUCAACGUUUAAGAGCCAUCGUUAUCAGCUAGCUAGCUAGCGUUCACUGUCAGUCAUUUUCAAGCCAUUUUAUCUUGCUCUGAGUUGAGACAUUUUUGUAGUAGAAGACUUUUGAGAUAAUGAUAUCAGUUAAAAAGGUGAUGAUACAGAAAAGCACUGUGAAUUUCUCAGCAUUGAGAUAUGUAUGGGGAAGAAAAGGGAAUGGGUUAGACAAGGUAAGCUGGAAGUUGUAUUUAAGGGGGCUGUUGCUUGAUUGUUUUAUCAGAAUGUCCUUGGUUGGGGAAAAAGGGAUCAAGCCAUUCAACCAAAAUGUUAUUUCUGACCCGGAUUCUUCUCAUGGGUCAUGAGGCCUUAAUAAUAAAACAAGAUUUCAGCCAAAAUUAAAAAGGUUUGAAAUAGAUAAACCUUGCAUGUGUUUGAGGAAGUAUUGGAGAAUCAAUGUAUGGAGUAUCUUCCAUUAGAUCCCAGAUUAGGUCAAACAGGAAAGAGCGUAAGGUUUUUGGUUCUGUCGGCACCUUUCCGUUUGAUUGGUAUUAUUUUUCACUCAGGGUUGUUUUCAGUGACAACAAUGUGUCCCAUUCACUGAGUAUGCAUGUGUAUGGUUAGAAUUGUACAUUGUGUACAUUAGAUGUGGCACUAUGUAAACCAAACGUGUUUUAUGGUUGGUGGCAUGUUAAUUGUCUACAUAACCAUUUAAAAUACACUAAACAGCUUUUCUACCACUACUGCAUAAGACCACACAUCUCCAUAUCAAAUAUUUUAGGGGAAAAUAUAGACUUUCACACUUGUAAUUAUGAGGGAAUUUAGAAAUCUUUAUUUUGAUUUACUUCACUCGAAUUAAGUACUAAAUCUCAGUAUCCAGAAUGCUUCAGUAUUUUUGUUCUAAGAAUGAAGAGAGUAACAGAGGCUUCCGAGUUAUGCCUUGAAAAGGCAUUACCAAUCUGUUUCUGCAUGUCUUGUAGAGCUGGUCACCAUGUCAAGUGUAUAUGUGAAUUUGAAAACUGUUUUGUAUGAACAGUUGGAACUGUAUCUGAAAAAUAAAAUGGUUCCAUUAUAAAAAUA